rnacentral:lncRNA from 1 species
UUAUUCUCCUUCACUCAGGCAUAAGAGUGAAAUUUCAUUAAGUAAUUUUCAACCUCCUUAAGAUAACAAUGCUUGUCCUUGAGAGAAAGUUGCUCUUCAUUCCUCUUGAACAAGUUUUGGGUGAAAUUUUCUCUCUGCAAGGAACGAUUGUAAAUCUGGAUGAGGUUUCAUUUAACCUUGGGAUGAAGAGUUACUGAUGAAGAUUAUGUUGUUUCAUAGGACAUCCCAACUCACUCUUCCUCAACUCAAGCUUUGGUAUUCUUCAUAAUCUUCCUUAGUUUUUCUUUUUUCUUUCUUAUCCUCGUGUCUUUGUUUUUUC